UACGUAGGUGGCAAGCGUUGUCCGGAAUUACUGGGUGUAAAGGGAGCGUAGGCGGGAAGACAAGUCGGGUGUCAAAUCUAUCGGCUCAACCGGUAGCAGCACUCGAAACUGCCUUUCUUGAGUGAAGUAGAGGUAAGCGGAAUUCCUAGUGUAGCGGUGAAAUGCGUAAAUAUUAGGAGGAACACCAGUGGCGAAGGCGGCUUACUGGGCUUUAACUGACGCUGAGGCUCGAAAGCAUGGGUAGCAAACAGG
rnacentral:rRNA from 1 species